rnacentral:lncRNA from 1 species
AGCGAUGCAGUUUCUGCAGUGUGGGCAAUGACACUCUUCAGCAAAGGAGCGACAUCUAAGGAUUAUGAGCACGAUGUAGCUGCAGUGCUGCACCCGAGGCACAGAGACGUUCCAAGCUAGGGGUUGAAUCAGAACUGCAGCUGCCAAUCUACACCACAGUCACAGCAACGCCGUAUCCAAGACGCAUCUGCGACCUACACCACAGCCUGUGGCAACGCCCGAUCUUAACCCACUGAGCCACAAAGGGAGCUCCUUAAUUUCACCUUUUUAUACAACCACGUUCAAGAAGCAACAAGAACCCCAGGACCAGCACUGGAAGCUGCCUUCUGGGUGCUGCUCUUCCACCGCAGGCUCUGAUGAGCAGGGUGCCCUGCUCCCGCGGAUGAAGAGUCCGUCCUGGACUUAGGAAAGCUCCCCAAAUCAACUCAAAGUCAAGAUCGAACCCUGUGGUGCGUGAGUCCAAUGAGGAGGGUGGUUCUACAGGAAUCUGGGCAGAUGUGAAUCCUAGGACCUCAGACAGGGACGGGCCAUCUCUCACGGGGAUUGGAUUACCCAGGGGUCCCCUCGGAAUUUCAGCUUCUAGGGUCUCUGUCCCCAGACCAAAGGUGCCAGGCAGGGGAAAGCUUUGUCUGGUUUCUAAUUCUAACCACAGGGAACAUGUGCUCCCCGACUUUGUGAAGAGAAAAUGAGUUCCCCCAGCAGAAGAAAAAGGAUGGAAAAAAUUAAUUUUGCUGCCCACUUUUUAGUCCUUGAGUGUGGAUAAAAAGAUGACGGUGAUUUUUUUUUAAUUAGAGGAGGAUCUGGAAUUCUCUUACUGGAAUAUUAAUUUCAAUAUGAAAAAUAGCUCUGAAACAGAAAGACACUAUUUUAAGCAGCGUGGUUUUUUCCCCCACUGACUUUUUUUUUUAAGUGUGAAGCUUACUUACAGACAAAUGAAUAGAACUGCUUGAUGAACAAGUGAACCUUCAACUAAUUUCAUCAAUUUUUAUCCUUCUCUGGUGGCCGGGGUUUUUAAUUCAUGUGUGUCUUUGAUGGUAUUGGCAAUUUUGAUGUUCGUUUACAAUUUAAACAAUUUAAGACAAAUGUUUCCUGAGAACAAACCCACAGGGGGGCCAGAAUUUUCUCCAGGCCCAGAGACACAUCAGUGGUGUGGACACACAAAUCCCAGCCUGGUUGGAAUGGACGGUCAGCGGGGAAACCUACUCGACAACCUGCGGUCACUUCUAAGGGGGUGGCUCUGUGCGUGUGUGUAACUGAACCACUUUGCUCCACGGCAGAAAUGAACACAACAGCGUAAAUCGACCAUAUUUCAAAAAAAAUUUAAGAAAUCUACAUCCCUGUGAGACUUAGCUCCAUCCAGUAGGGAAGACAGACAGACAGAGAAUGAACAACUAUAUUAUCGAUGCGAUAUAACUCGAGGCAGGAAAAGGACUUCACAGGUUCAGUUUUAAAUGCCUGCAGGCCGACUGGCCGAGCUAUGACAUGCGAUCAGGUUGUUCAAGUCUGCGACGUCACCUUUAUAGCCAGAAGGCCACCUUCGGAGACACAAACCCCUCAGCGGUGCCCCCACCACGGCUUCCAGCACAGGCAGCUCCUGGGCGAAGUUCUGUGCAGGGCGGGCCGAGGGCCAGGCUGGCGGUGGAGGGGGACUCGGCUCCACUUGUUCGAGGCUGGGCUGGGGGACGGAGAUGCAGGGGGAAGGGCAAAGCUGCAGAGGAUGCUCUGGGCGGGGAGGGGGGCUGGGUCGCAGUCAAGGGCCCCAGAGCCCUGAGAGAGCACAAGGGCCUGGGAACCAGGGCCCGGGAGGAAAGCCACCUUUUUAUUCUACUUUAUGUUACUGGGUUAUUUUUUUGCUUUUUUUUUUUUAAUUGAAUGACAGAUUCUUUCAAGUCUAUAGUGCUUCACGAUUUUCAGAAGCUUCACACACAUGAUUUCACAUCCUUGUAUAACCCUUCCCCCACCCCAUAUGCCCCCUGCCUAGGACGGGCAACCACUAACUUGUUCUCUGUGUCUGUGAGUCUGUGGCUGUUUUGUUAGAGUCACUAGUUUGUUGUGCUUUUCAGAUUCCGCGUCUAAGCGCUGUCACUACAGUAUCUGUCCUCGUCAGACUUAAUGAGCACAAACUCCCUCCACGUCCACCCGCUGCAACCGGCAACGCCCUUCUUUGUCACGGCUGAGCCACAGGGAGUCAGCCUUCUUGGGGGACCAACCCCACGAGGAGACAGUGAAAGGCUGGGGGUGGCCAGCACCCCGGUGACGUGAGGACAGCAGCCCUGAGCUCCCAGCUCUUCUCUGGGGACCAGGAGGUGAGGAUGGGGGGUGGGGGUGGGGGGAAGCCUGGAACUUUCCCUGUGGAGCAUCUGAGAGUGAGGCAGCUCCACUAGAGCGCCGGAAAUCCUUCUCGACUGAAUCUGUGUGUGUCAUUUGGGAAACUCCCAGCUGCCUUUUAACUGCAGGAAAUUCAAAAUAACAAGCCCGGCUCCCACCUCCUGCCAGCCUCCCUCAGGAGCUGCAGUAACAGGAGGUUCUGUUCCCGUUAGAAGUAACAAGCGGUGUCUGGGCUGCCCUGGCCUGCGGUUCGGCUGCCUCGAGGGCUGGGUCCCCGCAGGGACGGGGUCAGGCAGUGUGGUCUCAAGACCACGGGCCCGCGCCGAUGCCGACACGGGGCGGGCAGUGAGCACAGGUCCAGGGCACAGAGCCUGGCUCCUGUGUUCAAAUCAAGCAGCGGGGUCCCCUGGGCCCUCGGCCCCGCAGCAGUGCACACACGGUAGCUCAUUAGCAAGGGAAAGCCCUCGAAAACAGCGCGUGCAGCCGGUAAAAUGCUUAAUUAGAGGGAGCCUUCAAAAAUCUCGAUGGUUGAUUCCAAGGCAUGAGCAAGGCUAUAUUUAUCACUCCCUCCAGUUCCAGGUAGCUCAUUAAUAAGAAAAGGAAGGCUUCUCAAGUUUCACCACCUUCCCUGCUGCAACGCUCUCACGGUGGACCCCUGAACACAGUUCCAUCGGCCUGAGCGCCAAGCCUUCCCUCUGCGCCGCGGGCGGGGGGCCGAGGGCUAGUGGCUUUCGUGGCCGAGGAGAGGGAAGGGGACGGGCCUUUCUCUGUGACCCACAGUUGACAGACCUCCUAUUUCUCUAGCUCAUUUCACCCUCAAAACCCCCGCCAACAGCAGGGAUCCUUCCCACACGUCCUCCCCCGAGGCCGGUGGCCACGACCGGCUCCCCGGGGGCCUCAGGCCAUCAUGCCCGCGGCUUGAAGAUCCAGAGAGACGAAAAAGACCUUUCCUGUCCCCAAAGCCAGCAGAGUUUUUAACGACCGACACCGCACGGAGGCCCAGAGUGGGAAAGGUGGUUGUAAGACCAUCGGCCUGUGCGUGAGCUGGUUCCGAUGCGUGGGACGCGCUCUCCAUCAGUAAAGACGCCCAGGGGCCUGCUGUGCCCAGCCCGGGCCGGUCACGUGUCAGAGAAGAAUAAGCAACGCUUCCACCUGCUGGAGCUCAGGGAGCCCCACCGCUACCAGGCAUGCCUCCCGGAGCCAGCGCUGUGCCAAGAGGAACCAGACGAGGAAGCUGAGUGGCUGCCUUCCGGAGCGUCACCGCGGAGAGGAGACAUCGGCCGGCAUGCCCAGGCUCGGGCUGACACCGCACAGGCCCGCAACUCAGGUGUCGACCUGUGUGCGUUAGCAGCACGCUCCCCGGUGGCUGGGCGGGGCAGGGGUUUCUGCAGGAACUCAGUCGUGAUGAGGUGAUGCAGCUGCUGGGGCUGUGGGGGCCCCCCUAAAGGUGCCUCGGUGGGACAUCGUGCGAAAGUAACUGAGCCGCGAGGCCUGCCAGCUGCUCUCGGCUGGUGGACCUUGACCUCGGAGCUCGGCUAUUGCUUCCUUCGUCACCUGAGGACGCGGGUGUGAGGAGCCGUUUCAACCCCGGGGUCGUCUGGCCCACCAAGGAGCGUGGGUCCAUCCUUUCAGGCCACCUUGGACUUGGACUUUUCAGGUCCGUGUCAUUUGUAAAGUCAAGGAAGUCCCAGGAUUUGCGGCAGGAUGGUAACACAGGGGAUAAAGUGAGAGGAACGUUAAAGAGGACCAAUUCGGGGACCCCCCCCCCGAUAUCUGGCUGGCGGACAGGCCCCCUAGAGGCAGUGCAGGCGGAGAAGGAAGUCGGUGACUGAGAGAGGGAGAUUCCCUGCCCUGAUGGAAUAGAGCAGUUUUCACGGUGAAAGGACCCGCUGAGAACCAGGCAAAAAAACAAUGUUUGUGGCUGCACCUGCAGCAUACGGAAGUUCCCGGGCCAGGGAUGGAAUCUGAGCUGCAGCCACAACCUACAUCACAGCUGUGGCAGCACCGGAUCCUUAACCCACUUGCCGGGCUGGGAAUGAACCCUGCACCUCGGCAGCCACCCGAGCCGCUGCAGUCAAAAUCCUUAACCCACGGUGCCGCAGGACAUGCCGGAAGUCCAGAACAAGGCCACUUUUACGACCACAAACAAACUGCACGUCUUACCCUGGUAAAACUACAAGACCCCCGCCGAUGGAGAGAGAGAGUCAGACGACUUCCUGACGGAGAAAAGCAAGUGGUUUACAUAAAAACGAGAAUAAAACUGUCCAUCGUCUUGUUGUCAAUGACAGCCAAGCAAUCCCUUCAACGUCUGGAAAGUUCUUUUGAACCUGGAAGUGUAUCUCCAGUCAAAUGAUCACGCAAAGGCUGAGUGGCCAAUACACCCUGGAACAGGUGUUCAACACCCUUACUUAACAGAGACAUGCAAACCGAACCCACGGGAAGAUACCCACUUGAAAAGGGCUGGCGAUCACCAGUGCUGACGAAGUGGCUUGACCGCACCUCUUAUUCUGUGCUGGUAGGAGUGUGAAUGGCUCACAGGCAAGUAAGAAGUAGACACGGACUGAACUCAAUUUCUAUGAAGUGCUACAACAGGCAAAAGCAAUCUGGUGUAGAGACCUGUGAUCUGUGUCCGGGCCACUGCCCCAGAGAGGACACGAGGCAAGCUCUCUGGGUGAAUGGAAUGUUCUUAUAUCUUUUUUUUUUUUCUUUUAGGGCCGCACCUGUGGCAUAUGGACGUUCCCAGGCUAGGAGUCAAAUUGGAGCUGCAGUCCCCAGCCUACACCAGAGCCACAGCAACAUGGAAUCCGAGCCGCAUCUUUGACCUACACCACAGCUCACAGCAACGCUGGAUCCUUAACCCACUGAGCCAGGCCAGGGAUCGAACCUGUGUCCUCACGAAUACUAGUCAGAUUCAUUUCCGUGGAGCUGCGAGAGGAACUGCUGCUCUGUGUCUUAAGAUGGGUGGUGGUCACGUGCAAAACCCAUCCUGCUGGACCCUUGAGAUCUGUUUUCUCUGCAAGUGCAAAGUAUACCUCGAUAAGUAACUAAAAAAAAAAAAAAAAAA